AGAAUCAACGCUGGCGGCGUGCCUAACACAUGCAAGUCGAACGAGAAAGUGGAACAAUCCAUGAGUACAGUGGCGUACGGGUGAGUAACACGUGACUAACCUGCCCUCGAGUGGGGAAUAACCUCGGGAAACCGGGGCUAAUACCGCAUAACAUCUUCGGAUCAAAUGCGUAAGCAGCUUGAGGAGGGGGUCGCGGCCGAUUAGCUAGUUGGCGGGGUAAUGGCCCACCAAGGCAAUGAUCGGUAGCCGGCCUGAGAGGGCGCACGGCCACACUGGAACUGAAACACGGUCCAGACUCCUACGGGAGGCAGCAGUGGGGAAUUUGCGCAAUGGGGGAAACCCUGACGCAGCAACGCCGCGUGGAGGAUGAAGCCCCUUGGGGUGUAAACUCCUUUCGAUCGGGACGAUUAUGACGGUACCGGAUGAAGAAGCACCGGCUAACUCUGCGCCAGCAGCCGC
rnacentral:rRNA from 1 species